rnacentral:lncRNA from 1 species
ACAAGUAUUAGAUACUUUUUGAUAUAUCAUUAUUUUCUAUUUCCAGAAAACAAUAAAUUGUUAAACAUCAAUAUCAUCUAGGUUAAGUAUACGAACAACACAAAUUCAAACAUCACAAAAAAUAUUUACAUAAACAUUAUAAUACAAUAAUUUAAUCAAAAAAUACAAUUAAAAAAACAAUAUUCAAAACAAUAGUUAUAUACUUAAUAUUUGAAAAUCAAAGAUAUUUUUGCUAAAAUUUUACUUACCUGGCCAAGGAGAUCGUCCAUCUUUUUACGGAUCGAUAGAUUGUUGAGCAUGUGGUCGAACCGAAAAUACUCUGCAGUUUAAUUAAAUAUCUAAAACAUUUAUUCAAAUACUCAACAAAUAGUUUUGCUAAGUAUGAUAACUAAAUAGCCAACAAAAUUACAAAAAAAUAUUUAAACAGUAAAAAAUAUGUUACUUUAACGUGUUAAAAUUUAAAAAUAAAUUUUAAUUAUGACAUGCAUCUUAACAUUUAUAUAAAUAUAUAUCAUAACCUAAAUAUAAAUAAUUUAACAACUUAAAUUAGAAAAAAAUAAAAAUCCCGGGCGUAGCCCGGAUUAAUCCCUAGUCUAUACUAAUAAAAGAGACCUUUUGAGGCUCCAUAGAGCGUCCACAUCAGCAAAAAAAAUUUCUCUCGAAAGAUGACACGUGGCAUUAACAAAAAAAUAAGAAUAAAUAUACAUAUAAAAAAAAAGUAAAUAUAUAAUAUAAGAAAUAGAAAUAUUACAUUAGACAAUAAUAAAUAAAUAUACAAUAUAAAGAAAAUAAAUAAAAAGUAAAUAUACAAUAUAAGAAAUAUAUAUAUAUCACAUUAAACAUCUAUCAUAAUUUAUCAUCUGAUAUACUAAUAAAAUAGACAUUUUGAGGCUCCAUAGAGCGUCCACAUCAGCAAAAAAAACUUCUCUCGAAAGAUAACACGUGGCAUUAACAAAAAAAUAAAAAUAAAUAUACAUAUAAAGAAAAAUAAAUAAUAAGUAAAUAUAAAAUAUAAGAAAUAAAAAUAUUAAAUUAAACAAUAAUAAGUAAAUAUAUAAUAUAAGGAAAAAUAAAUAAAAAAUUAAAUAUACAAUAUAAAAAAUAGAAAUUCCCCCUAUAUAUUAAAUGAGAAAUCACUUUAGUGAUUUCUGGUGACGUAUCGCUCAUAGGUGAAGUUUCA